UACGGAGGGUGCAAGCGUUGUCCGGAUUUAUUGGGUUUAAAGGGUGCGUAGGCGGCCCGUUAAGUCCGUGGUGAAAGCCAACAGCUCAACUGUUGAACUGCCAUGGAUACUGACGGGCUUGAGUACAGACGAGGUAGGCGGAAUGGAUGCUGUAGCGGUGAAAUGCAUAGAUAGCAUCCAGAACCCCGAUUGCGUAGGCAGCUUACUAGGCUGUAACUGACGCUGAGGCACGAAAGCGUGGGGAGCGAACAGG
rnacentral:rRNA from 1 species